AAUGAACGCUGGCGGCGCGCCUAAUACAUGCAAGUCGAGCGAGAAGACGUAGCAAUACGUUUGUAAAGCGGCGAACGGGUGAGGAAUACAUGGGUAACCUACCCUCGAGUGGGGAAUAACUAGCCGAAAGGUUAGCUAAUACCGCGUACGCCUCUUGGACUUCGGUUCAGGGAGGAAAGCGAUACCGUGGGUAUCGCGCUCUUGGAUGGGCUCAUGUCCUAUCAGCUUGUUGGUGAGGUAACGGCUCACCAAGGCUUCGACGGGUAGCUGGUCUGAGAGGACGAUCAGCCACACUGGCACUGCGACACGGGCCAGACUCCUACGGGAGGCAGCAGUAAGGAUAUUGCGCAAUGGGCGAAAGCCUGACGCAGCGACGCCGCGUGGGGGAUGAAGGUCUUCGGAUUGU
rnacentral:rRNA from 1 species